rnacentral:rRNA from 1 species
AUUGAACGCUAGCGGGAUGCUUUACACAUGCAAGUCGAACGGCAGCGCGGACUUCGGUCUGGCGGCGCGUGGCGAACGGGCGAGUAAUGUAUCGGAACGUGCCCAGUAGCGGGGGAUAAGUACGCGAAAGCGUAGCUAAUAUCGCAUACGCCCUUCUGGGGAAAGCAGGGGAUCGUAAGACCUUGCACUAUUGGAGCGGCCGAUAUCGGAUUAGCUAGUUGGUGAGGUAACGGCUCACCAAGGCGACGAUCCGUAGCUGGUUUGAGAGGACGACCAGCCACACUGGGACUGAGACACGGCCCAGACUCCUACGGGAGGCAGCAGUGGGGAAUUUUGGACAAUGGGGGCAACCCUGAUCCAGCCAUCCCGCGUGUGCGAUGAAGGCCUUCGGGUUGUAAAGCACUUUUGGCAGGAAAGAAACGUCGCGGGCUAAUACCCCGUGGAACUGACGGUACCUGCAGAAUAAGCACCGGCUAACUACGUG